rnacentral:rRNA from 1 species
UACGUAGGGGGCGAGCGUUGUCCGGAUUUAUUGGGCGUAAAGAGCGUGUAGGCGGCCAGGUAGGUCUGCUGUGAAAACUCGAGGCUCAACCUCGAGACGCCGAUGGAAACCAUCUGACUAGAGUCCGGAAGAGGAGAGUGGAAUUCCUGGUGUAGCGGUGAAAUGCGCAGAUAUUAGGAAGAACACCCGUGGCUAAGGCGGCUCUCUAGUACGGUACUGACGCUGAGACGCGAAAGCGUGGGGAGCGAACAGG